rnacentral:rRNA from 1 species
AGAGUUUGAUCCUGGCUCAGGAUGAACGCUAGCGACAGGCCUAACACAUGCAAGUCGAGGGGCAGCGAAGAGGUAGCAAUACCUUUGUCGGCGACCGGCGCACGGGUGAGUAACACGUAUGCAAUCCACCUGUAACAGGGGGAUAACCCGGAGAAAUCCGGACUAAUACCCCAUAAUAUGGGCGCUCCGCAUGGAGAGCCCAUUAAAGAGAGCAAUUUUGGUUACAGACGAGCAUGCGCUCCAUUAGCCAGUUGGCGGGGUAACGGCCCACCAAAGCGACGAUGGAUAGGGGUUCUGAGAGGAAGGUCCCCCACAUUGGAACUGAGACACGGUCCAAACUCCUACGGGAGGCAGCAGUGAGGAAUAUUGGUCAAUGGUCGGCAGACUGAACCAGCCAAGUCGCGUGAGGGAAGACGGCCCUACGGGUUGUAAACCUCUUUUGUCGGAGAGUAAAGUACGCUACGUGUAGUGUAUUGCAAGUAUCCGAAGAAAAAGCAUCGGCUAACUCCGUGCCAGCAGCCGCGGUAAUACGGAGGAUGCAAGCGUUAUCCGGAUUUAUUGGGUUUAAAGGGUGCGUAGGCGGCACGCCAAGUCAGCGGUGAAAUUUCCGGGCUCAACCCGGAGUGUGCCGUUGAAACUGGCGAGCUAGAGUACACAAGAGGCAGGCGGAAUGCGUGGUGUAGCGGUGAAAUGCAUAGAUAUCACGCAGAACCCCGAUUGCGAAGGCAGCCUGCUAGGGUGAAACAGACGCUGAGGCACGAAAGCGUGGGUAUCGAACAGGAUUAGAUACCCUGGUAGUCCACGCAGUAAACGAUGAAUACUAACUGUUUGCGAUACAAUGUAAGCGGUACAGCGAAAGCGUUAAGUAUUCCACCUGGGGAGUACGCCGGCAACGGUGAAACUCAAAGGAAUUGACGGGGGCCCGCACAAGCGGAGGAACAUGUGGUUUAA